UUAAUAGGAACCGGAGCGAGUGGUCCUGUAUCAUCACAGGACAAAAGGGAAGCCAGUGAGAGUCUGGCGCGGUCCCGCCACUGUGAGGGAGAGCUGCUUUGCAUGAUGCCACUGGGCCUUUAGGGCCUGGGAAGGCGCAAAGCUACCAUGACCCCGAGCCAGGAAACCUGCUCACCUGGUCUUUUUGGA
rnacentral:ncRNA from 2 species